rnacentral:rRNA from 1 species
UACGAAGGGGGCUAGCGUUGCUCGGAAUCACUGGGCGUAAAGCGCACGUAGGCGGACUCUUAAGUCGGUGGUGAAAUCCUGGAGCUCAACUCCAGAACUGCCUUCGAUACUGAGAGUCUUGAGUCCGGGAGAGGUGAGUGGAACUGCGAGUGUAGAGGUGAAAUUCGUAGAUAUUCGCAAAGAACACCAGUGGCGAAGGCGGCUCACUGGCCCGGUACGUGACGCUGAGGUGCGGAAA